UAUAUUUUAGUGUAAGAUGCACUAGAGCUUUUGACACUCUAAGGGAUAGUUUAAUCCCAUAAAAUAUAA
rnacentral:tRNA from 1 species